rnacentral:rRNA from 1 species
UGACCUACGGGGCGCAGCAGUGGGGAAUAUUGCACAAUGGGGGAAACCCUGAUGCAGCGACGCCGCGUGAGUGAAGAAGUAUUUCGGUACGUAAAGCUCUAUCAGCAGGGAAGAAAAAAAGUCCUUUGGACUUUGGACGGUACCUGACCAAGAAGCCCCGGCUAACUACGUGCCAGCAGCCGCGGUAAUACGGAAGGUCCGGGCGUUAUCCGGAUUUAUUGGGUUUAAAGGGAGCGUAGGCCGGCUUUUAAGUCAGCUGUGAAAGUCCGCGUCUCAACCGUGGAAUUGCAGUUGAAAAUGGAGGC